AGACAAAAAUUUACGUUUGAAGUCAAGUGGUACAUUCCGUUGACGGAAGUUCUCUUGUUCAAUCCAGAAGAUGCCGAAGAAGUGAAAGAAAGUACAUCCGUUGACAUUGUUACUCUAAAGACUCGAGCCUCUACCGUCCGAGAUCAGAUUCUUAAAGAAGAGAGAAUUAAUCAGGGAAAGGAG